UACGUAUGGUGCAAGCGUUAUCCGGAUUCACUGGGUUUAAAGGGUGCGUAGGCGGGCAAGUAAGUCAGUGGUGAAAUCUCCGGGCUUAACCCGGAAACUGCCAUUGAUACUAUUUGUCUUGAAUACUGUGGAGGUCAGCGGAAUAUGUCAUGUAGCGGUGAAAUGCUUAGAUAUGACAUAGAACACCAAUUGCGAAGGCAGCUGGCUACACGAAUAUUGACACUGAUGCACGAAAGCGUGGGGAUCAAACAGG
rnacentral:rRNA from 1 species